rnacentral:misc_RNA from 2 species
GACAAUCGCUGGCGGCUUCGGCCGCGAGAGGAAAGUCCGGGCUCCAUAGGGCGAUGAUGCUGGAUAACGUCCAGUCAACGCGAGUUGAAGGCUAGUGCCACAGAAAUGGACCGCCGAUGGCUGCUUUGCUGCAUCGCGCUUCGGCGCGGUGUGCGGAGCUUCACAGGCAAGGAUGGAACCGUGGUGUAAGAGACCACGAGGAGCCAUGGUGACAUGGUUCCUGGUAAACCCCAUCUGGAGCAAGACCUAAUGGAACGCUAGCUCCCUUGAGGAGCAGCCUCGGCCCGGGGCGCGUUCGGGUUGGUCGCUGGAGCCGGUCAGCA